GCGCCGUUAGCUCAGUUGGUAGAGCAGCUGACUCUUAAUCAGCGGGUCCGGGGUUCGAGCCCCCGACGGCGUA
rnacentral:tRNA from 1 species